rnacentral:rRNA from 1 species
AGUAGUUUGAUCAUGGCUCAGGACGAACGCUGGCGGCGUGCUUAACACAUGCAAGUCGAGCGGAAAGGCUCCUUCGGGGGUACUCGAGCGGCGAACGGGUGAGUAACACGUGAGUAAUCUGCCCUUGGCUUCGGGAUAACUACCGGAAACGGUGGCUAAUACCGGAUAUGACCACUCCUUGCAUGGGGUGGUGGUGGAAAGUUUUUUCGGCCAGGGAUGUGCUCGCGGCCUAUCAGCUUGUUGGUGGGGUAAUGGCCUACCAAGGCUUCGACGGGUAGCCGGCCUGAGAGGGUGACCGGCCACACUGGGACUGAGACACGGCCCAGACUCCUACGGGAGGCAGCAGUGGGGAAUAUUGGACAAUGGGCGGAAGCCUGAUCCAGCAACGCCGCGUGAGGGAUGACGGCCUUCGGGUUGUAAACCUCUUUCAGUACCGACGAAGCGCCGAUGAUGGUGGUGACGGUAGGUACAGAAGAAGCACCGGCCAACUACGUG